rnacentral:misc_RNA from 1 species
UUUUGACAUUAAAAUUGGAUGGAGGUUAAUCACAUCCUAUUGAAUUUUGUUUCAUGAUAACAAUUCACUGGCGAACCAGCUUCAUGUCAUAAAAAAUUGAAUGGAGAGGGGUAAUGUUUCAACCCAGAAAAUCCAAUUCGGUACGCGGUACGUUCGAAAUGAGCGAUCCGAAGAUCAACCCAUUCCAAAUUGGUAAAGGUGUGGUAAUGAUCCUUCCGCAGGUUCACCUACGGAAA